AUGUCGACGCUACGCCUGUCUGAGGGUC
rnacentral:rRNA from 2 species